rnacentral:rRNA from 1 species
AGUCAACAUGCCCAGGGGACGUGGAUAACCUCGGGAAACUGAGGAUAAACCGCGAUAGGUCAUUACUUCUGGAAUGGGUAAUGACUUAAACCUAUAUGGCCCCUGGAUUGGACUGCGGCCGAUCAGGCUGUUGGUGAGGUAAUGGCCCACCAAACCUGUAACCGGUACGGGCUCUGAGAGGAGGAGCCCGGAGAUGGGCACUGAGACAAGGGCCCAGGCCCUAUGGGGCGCAGCAGGCGCGAAACCUCUGCAAUAGGCGAAAGCUUGACAGGGUUACUCUGAGUGAUUUCCGUUAAGGAGAUCUUUUGGCACCUCUAAAAAUGGUGCAGAAUAAGGGGUGGGCAAGUCUGGAGUCAGCCGCCGCGGUAAUACCAGCACCCCGAGUGGUCGGGACGUUUAUUGGGCCUAAAGCAUCCGUAGCCGGUUCUACAAGUCUUCCGUUAAAUCCACCUGCUUAACAGAUGGGCUGCGGAAGAUACUAUAGAGCUAGGAGGCGGGAGAGGCAAGCGGUACUCGAUGGGUAGGGGUAAAAUCCGUUGAUCCAUUGAAGACCACCAGUGGCGAAGGCGGCUUGCCAGAACGCGCUCGACGGUGAGGGAUGAAAGCUGGGGGAGCAAACCGGAUUAGAUACCCGGGUAGUCCCAGCUGUAAACGAUGCAGACUCGGUGAUGAGUUGGCUUAUUGCUAACUCAGUGCCGCAGGGAAGCCGUUAAGUUUGCCGCCUGGGGAGUACGGUCGCAAGACUGAAACUUAA